rnacentral:rRNA from 1 species
AUUGAACGCUGGCGGCAGGCCUAACACAUGCAAGUCGAGCGGCUCGGCGGACGGGUGAGUAAUGCCUAGGAAUCUGCCUGGUAGUGGGGGAUAACGUCCGGAAACGGGCGCUAAUACCGCAUACUAUCAGAUGAGCCUAGGUCGGAUUAGCUAGUUGGUGGGGUAAAGGCCUACCAAGGCGACGAUCCGUCACUGGUCGUAGAGGAUGAUCAGUCACACUGGAACUGAGACACGGUCCAGACUCAUACGGGAGGCAGCAGUGGGGAAUAUUGGACAAUGGGCGAAAGCCUGAUCCAGCAAUGCCGCGUGUGUGAAGAAGGGCUGCGGAUUGUAAAGCACUUUAAGUUGGGAGGCGUUACCAACAGAAUAAGCACCGGCUAACUUCGUGCCAGCAGCAGCGGUAAUUC